CUGGCGUCUACCGACGCGGUGGUCGUCCGCCCACUGACGGAGAUUGCCGAAUUUCAGGUUCAACUGGAUCAGGAGGUUGGUGAUCUGGCCAGUUUGGCAACCAGCGUGCGAACUCCAGAGGGUGGUCGGCUCUCUGAUCUUGUGAACGAGUCUCAGUCCAGUGUUAGCGGCAAGCUAUUUGACUGCAUUUCCGUGCCACCAAAAUCUAAUUGGAAUGAAGCUCUUGAACUGGUAGGAGAGGGAGUCGGCGAUGUAUGCAGGUCGGGACCAGGACCGACGUUGAGUACAGGCUUACACUCUCCUAGUCCGUGCACUUCUUCUAGGAAUAAGGUGAAGCCAUGGCAGGGCAAAUUGCCGUCGCCACGGCGUUCGCCGGAGUUCGCAGUUGGACAUGCACUAGAAAAAACGCAGUGGCGCUGCUCUCCUGGAAGAUGUCGUGGCCAAAGGUUGAAGAAGAUGUCUUCAGUGGAAGCGGUAUCAGUGGAGCGGUUGGCUAUUGGUUUGAAUUCGAAGGAUUUUGGUAAGGAUGGAAGUCAGGCGAUAUUCUGGGAUUCUCAUGCGGAUCCUGUGCUGGAAUCAAGGAGUGUUGGCAUAAUUAGUGCUUGUCCCCGUUGGAAUGGGAGGGCCCAACAUAUGAUUCUCAGUGCUAGGAUUCCUUAUAGGCCAACGGCUGGUCUGGUUUCCCUGUUCUCCCGUUCAGGCACCAGUUCUUCUCCUGCCAGGGUGGUACACAUUUCCUCCCGGGGUCUGGCACCCAGCACGUUCGUCGAGGCUGCAAGGAACGCAAUGGUGCCGUUUGUUGAAACUAGUGGACGUGGAGGCAGUCGUGGCCAACAUCAGUCCGAUGGCACUGGAGGUUUUUCCGCCGGUCAUCAACAGCUUGGUGGCGCGGGAGGACAUGUCGCUGGUAUGGAACUGAAUACCGACUAUGGACGCGGUGGAUCCCAACCGGUGUUCUAUCCUGGCUAUGGGGGCGGAGGCCGUCCCUUUGGACGUCGGGGAGGUGGAUAUGGCCAUCCUGGUGCGUGGCAUGGUGGAAGAGGUGGUUCUGCCGGAGGUCGGUUCUUCGGAGGUCGUACUUUGCCAAUUCAAUCUAAGGGUGGAGAUGUUCACAGCAGGUUUACAAAUGGAGGGGCUUCCUCUGUGAUGGUCGCUGGACAGGGUCUGGGGGGGAUCAGGGACUUCUUCGGUGACACCUGA
rnacentral:misc_RNA from 1 species